rnacentral:Y_RNA from 1 species
GGCUGGUCAGAGGCAGUGAGUUAUCCCAAGUGACUGUUCACAGUCAGUUACAGAUUGAACUCCUUGUGCUACUCUUUCCCCCUUCUCACUACUGCACUUGACUAGUCUAAA